CCUACGGGAGGCAGCAGUGAGGAAUAUUGGUCAAUGGACGAGAGUCUGAACCAGCCAAGUAGCGUGAAGGAUGACUGCCCUCUGGGUUGUAAACUUCUUUUAUAUGGGAAUAACAUGUUCCACGUGUGGGAUUUUGUAUGUACCAUAUGAAUAAGGAUCGGCUAACUCCGUGCCAGCAGCCGCGGUAAUACGGAGGAUCCGAGCGUUAUCCGGAUUUAUUGGGUUUAAAGGGAGCGUAGGUGGAUUGUUAAGUCAGUUGUGAAAGUUUGCGGCUCAACCGUAAAAUUGCAGUUGAAACUGGCAGUCUUGAGUACAGGAGAGGUGGGCGGAAUUCGUGGUGUAGCGGUGAAAUGCUUAGAUAUCACGAAGAACUCCGAUUGCGAAGGCAGUUCACUGGACUGCAACUGACACUGAGGCUCGAAAGUGUGGGUAUCAAACAGGAUUAGAUACCCCAGUAGUC
rnacentral:rRNA from 1 species